rnacentral:rRNA from 1 species
UACGUACCGUCCAAACGUUAUUCGGAAUUACUGGGCUUAAAGGGCGCGUAGGCGGCCCGGCAAGUCGGGAGUGAAAGCCCGGGGCUCAACCCCGGAGGGUCUCUCGAAACUGCCGAGCUAGAGUGCGGAAGAGGCAAUCGGAAUUCCCAGUGUAGCGGUGAAAUGCGUAGAUAUUGGGAAGAACACCGGAGGCGAAGGCGGAUUGCUGGGCCGACACUGACGCUGAGGCGCGAACGCCAGGGGAGCAAACGGG